rnacentral:rRNA from 1 species
UGAGGAAUAUUGGACAAUGGGCGCAAGCCUGAUCCAGCCAUGCCGCGUGCAGGAUGACGGCCCUAUGGGUUGUAAACUGCUUUUGUACAGGAAGAAACACUCCCUCGUGAGGGAGCUUGACGGUACUGUAAGAAUAAGGAUCGGCUAACUCCGUG